AUAUUCAUAUAAUGGACCCAUUCUUUAUUAAUAAUUAAAGGAUAAUAAAUAUUGAGAUUUUAUACUAAUUUUAGUACCAUAUUACAUAUCAAGGUGGGUUGUUUUAUAAUAAAUUCUUGGAAACCUGCCCCAAUUCUUAAUUCAUAGUUACAAAAUAUUGGUUAGCUACUUGUUUCAAACCAGAGAAAAUAUGAAAAGCUUCAGAAUCUUUGUUGUUCUUUUGAUUGUACUCUUCAUUACUCAAGGGAAUGAGGUGAUGGUGGCAGAUGCUAAUGAGUGUAAGGAGGAACUGUUCCAAUACGGACGAUGCAAUCUUACUUUUUGCAAAGUUAAUUGUAUCCUAGCGUACGGGAAAAAGGCUGUAGGAGAAUGCUCCGGCCAUUGCGUUUGUACUUAUCCUUGUUAGUACCUUUUCUGAACUUUUUAAAAUAUGUUUACCAAUUUAUGAUAAAUAAAAAAUAAUAUUAUGCCGAA